rnacentral:rRNA from 1 species
GAUGAACGCUAGCUACAGGCUUAACACAUGCAAGUCGAGGGGCAGCAUGAUUGAAGCUUGCUUCAAUCGAUGGCGACCGGCGCACGGGUGAGUAACACGUAUCCAACCUGCCGUUAACUCGGGGAUAGCCUUUCGAAAGAAAGAUUAAUACCCGAUAGUAUAGUAUUUCCGCAUGGUUUCACUAUUAAAGAACUUCGGUUAUCGAUGGGGAUGCGUUCCAUUAGAUAGUUGGCGGGGUAACGGCCCACCAAGUCAACGAUGGAUAGGGGUUCUGAGAGGAAGGUCCCCCACAUUGGAACUGAGACACGGUCCAAACUCCUACGGGAGGCAGCAGUGAGGAAUAUUGGUCAAUGGACGAGAGUCUGAACCAGCCAAGUAGCGUGAAGGAUGACUGCCCUAUGGGUUGUAAACUUCUUUUAUACGGGAAUAAAGUGGAGUAUGCAUACUCCUUUGUAUGUACCGUAUGAAUAAGGAUCGGCUAACUCCGUG